rnacentral:rRNA from 1 species
CCCUUAGAUGUUCUGGGCCGCACGCGCGCUACACUGAUGCAUUCAACGAGCCUAUCCUUGACCGACAGGUCCGGGUAAUCUUUGAAUCUGCAUCGUGACGGGGAUAGAUUAUUGCAAUUAUUAAUCUUCAACGAGGAAUGCCUAGUAGGCGCAAGUCAUCAGCUUGCGUCGAUUACGUCCCUGCCCUUUGUACACACCGCUCGUCGCUCCUACCGAUUGGGUGUGCUGGUGAAAUGUUCGGAUCGGCCGUUUGUCGCGGUUUCCGCGUCAUGUGGCUGAGAAGUUCAUUAAACCCUCCCACCUAGAGGAAGGAGAAGUCGUAACA